AAACAAGAAAAUGCACCAUGAGAGUGAAGAACGAACAAAGAUUGACCAUGACAAAAUUCAGAAUCAUGUAGUGUCUUCCAACAGAAAGAGAGUUCAAUGUGCUGAACCAA